GAUGAACGCUGGCGGCGUGCCUAAUACAUGCAAGUCGAGCGAACAGAUAAGGAGCUUGCUCCUUUGACGUUAGCGGCGGGCGGGUGAGUAACACGUGGAUAACCUACCUAUAAGACUGGGAUAACUUCGGGAAACCGGAGCUAAUACCGGAUAACAUAUUGAACCGCAUGGUUCAAUAGUGAAAGGCGGCUUUGCUGUUACUUAUAGAUGGAUCCGCGCCGUAUUAGCUAGUUGGUAAGGUAACGGCUUACCAAGGCAACGAUACGUAGCCGACCUGAGAGGGUGAUCGGCCACACUGGAACUGAGACACGGUCCAGACUCCUACGGGAGGCAGCAGUAGGGAAUCUUCCGCAAUGGGCGAAAGCCUGACGGAGCAACGCCGCGUGAGUGAUGAAGGUCUUCGGAUCGUAAAACUCUGUUAUCAGGGAAGAACAAAUGUGUAAGUAACUGUGCACAUCUUGACGGUACCUGAUCAGAAAGCCACGGCUAACUACGUG
rnacentral:rRNA from 1 species